GUGAAUCAUCAAAUCUUUGAACGCAAAUUGCACUCUCUUCGGAGAGUAUGCCUGUUUGAGGGUCAGCCUAAAAAAAAUAGACGUAGUAGCUGUUUCGCGGUGACAUUCGGCGGAAAUUGGGUCAUCUUAAACCUUUGGGUUUUUUAAGCGGCUUAAAAUUUGCGUUACGAUUCCACGAACGGUUCUAAGAUUGUACUUAUUAAACACGUUAAAGGUAACGAUCUUUAUUAGACGUGGCCGUUGCAUCGGAGCGCGUCCACAAAUAUUGCGUUAACUGACCUCAUACAGGGAAGA
rnacentral:misc_RNA from 1 species